GAUGAACGCUGGCGGCGUGCCUAAUACAUGCAAGUCGAGCGAACAGACGAGAGUGCUUGCACUCUCUGACGUUAGCGGCGGACGGGUGAGUAACACGUGGGUAACCUACCUAUAAGACUGGGAUAACUUCGGGAAACCGGAGCUAAUACCGGAUAAUAUUUAGCUUCGCAUGAAGCAAUAGUGAAAGACGGUUCUGCUGUCACUUAUAGAUGGACCCGCGGUGUAUUAGCUAGUUGGUGAGGUAACGGCUCACCAAGGCAACGAUACAUAGCCGACCUGAGAGGGUGAUCGGCCACACUGGGACUGAGACACGGCCCAGACUCCUACGGGAGGCAGCAGUAGGGAAUCUUCCGCAAUGGACGAAAGUCUGACGGAGCAAUGCCGCGUGAGUGAAGAAGGUUUUCGGAUCGUAAAACUCUGUUGUAAGGGAAGAACAAGUACGUUAGUAACUGAACGUACCCCGACAGUACCUUACCAGAAAGCCACGGCUAACUACGUG
rnacentral:rRNA from 1 species